UCAGUUUGAAACUUCAAAUGCGAUAUAAUUUUGGCUUGGACCAUCUAAGCUGACUGACAUCAACUUGCUAUAAUUUCUGUUUACAUUACAUCGCAAUUCGAUGACACUCUGGCUCAGACACCAGAAUGUUUUGACGAUUUUUAGCAUUCGUUUAGGAUUUUUAAACAACCUGGUCUCUUUUAAAAUACUUUAAAUUUGUUCUUAC